ACUAAAUGAAAUAUAUUUCUUAUUUAAAUUCUAAAUUUAAUGCAAUUUUCUGCCAAAUUAGUU
rnacentral:tRNA from 1 species